CUUAAACUCAGCGGGUAGUCCCGCUUGACCUGGGGUCGCAAGGGUGGAAGAAGCAAAAUGAAUUUUACAAACAAUGACAUCAAACCACUCAAGUAAUCCGAACAAAAAGGCACGACGCUUCAUGACGAGAUGCUUUUGGGAUCUAAGCCCAACCAACCACCAAUCAUCACGGCGCUCACUGCCGUAAGCUCCAAGUUUAAGUCAUCCGUGCAAGAAGCACACGGGAGACCACUCUCCGCCCCUCUAACCCAACAAAAGGUAAGUGGGGAGCGACGCAAUGCGUGACGCCCAGGCAAACGUGCCCUCGGCCAAAAGGCUUCGGGCGCAACUUGCGUUCAAAGACUCGAUGGUUCACGGGAUUCUGCAAUUCACACCAAGUAUCGCAUUUCGCUACGUUCUUCAUCGAUGCGAGAGCCGAGAUAUCCGUUGCCGAGAGUCAUUUGAUUAUAUAUUUCAACACCGCAACACCUCAAAGCAACCAGUCGGCACAAGAAGGUGAAGCUUGCGUUCAAGUUCCUUGGCGCAUUCCGCGCCGGAAAGUUGUUCAUGUCGAGGAUGGAGGAUGCACAAUGCAGCCGUCCACACCACAACAAGGGAUGGUUUAAAACAAGUUCACACGUGGCUCUGCUUUUGCAGGUUUCGACAAUGAUCCUUCCGCAGGUUCACCUACGGAAACCUU
rnacentral:misc_RNA from 1 species